UGGCCCGGCCACUGCUUGCUCUGCCACCGAACUGGGAGCCAGGUGCGGGGCCGGGUGGUUCCUGCCUUCCCCCCGGAAGCCUGGUCACGCCUGCCCGUCCAGCCCCGGUCACUGCCCGCGCUCAGGCGGGGGCGGGCUGCCGCGCACAGCGGUGGUGCAGGCCAGGCUACAGCAGCGUGACCCACCUCCCCCGUGGGGAGUCCCCAGGGGCAGUUAUCCACCUCUUGCCUUUCAUCUCUAGGGCCCUGAGCCACGUUGUUUUAUGGACAGUCCCUGAACAGGCUGCAAAGGAGCAGGCCCUUGGGUGCUUUCAGCCUGUGGGGGUUUCUUGUUACUGUGAUUAGGUUUGUUACAGAGCAGUAGGAAGCGCUAGAACUGUACAUGGAGCAUUACCAAAAUAGCCAGGCUGUGAUUAGUUAGUAUGUGACCUAGAAAUCUAGCUAAAACUACAUCAUCUUGCCUGGCUGUAUCCAGCACCGUGGUAAAGAAUCCCCUUCAUAGUCAUUUAUAAUUUGUCUAAUACAAAUUAUACCCCAAAAAUCAUCAUUUUCUUUCCAUCCCCAAAUAGGGUAAUAAUGUGCCAGAUGUCACCCAAGUAACACUGAAGUCCAAGAUAUUUUUUUGACUGCAAAACAGAGCAGUAUGUGGUAGGAUGCAGUGGACCUGUAGCAUCUUUGAAGAAAAAAAGUGCAAACUAUAUUCUGCUAUGUACACUGUACUUGCUGAGUGGAGGUCCUUUCCAAGGUGUUGUGUAAGUAGAGCUUAAACCAGGACUCAGACCACACCAGAGUCUCCAAUGCUUGGGGGUUACCCAACAGAGUGCAUGGCACUCGCUAGUCCAUGAGGGAAGAUCAAUUAAAGUAUAAUUUUAAAAAGAUGUUCUUUCUCCAGUUAGGUUUGUUAUGAGCCUCAUGUGCUUAUUCACAUACCUAAUAGAUAUCACUGAUCAUAACUAUCAGAAGCUAACUAUCUGGAAAACUAUUUCUUCAUCACAGGACCUGGCAAUGUGUGCGUUUCAAUGGUUUGCUCUCUCUUUGUCCAUUUUUCCUCAGCGUCAUAGAGCUCAAUUGAUGGAGUAGUGUGAGGGAGUGGUUCCAUUUCUUUCCGUUUGGGGCUUUUGUCCAUCCCAUUUGUAGAGCUGGGA